UUUAAGAUUUAGGUAAUUUAAAUAGUAUGAUUAGGGAAACAGUUCAAACAACUCCCUAAACAACCCCAACAGAUUCAAAAUUUGAACUUGCAGACAACAAGCAAAGAUGUCUAAUUUAUCAUGAACAAAAUAUGAAUUUUACAAUGGAUGUAGAGUUUAGACUAAAAAGUUCCAAAGUAUUCUAUUAACAUUAAAAAGUGCAGAUGUAUUCUUCUGAUGACAUGACUAUUGGAUUUAGGAAGAUUGAUGUUUUCAUAUAUUUUGGAUUAAAUCUUUUGAACUGGUGAAAAGAAAAUUUAAAGAAUGAUGUAUGCGCAGACUAUUAGUUUUAAUAUAAUCUUUUCAAAAUGUUUUCUGAUAGGACUGAAGAAUGGAAACACAAUCAGACUUUGAUUUAUGUAACUGCUUGGUGCACAAAACACAACAAAUGCAUACAAGAUGGUCAGAUUAAUGAUGCUGUUACAGAGCAAAUCAGUUAUGCACGAAAGAAAUUAAGGAAAUUGUGAUAAUACUUUUUAUUCGAAGAACACUGAAAAGACAUUAAAAUAUGACUAAUAACUGAAAAUGAAGAAAUUGGGAAGAACUAAAAAUGUCAAUAUUAUACAUGUAGUAAAUUGUAGUUGCUUAAAUACAGUCGAUCAAGUUUGAUAACAAUUUUACUAUUUUAUUUGUAUGAAGGCCUAGUUUUUCUUUGCAAGAAUGCAUAGAAAUGGUAAAAACCUGGAUCUGUGGAAUGAAAAAUUUCCUUCAU